rnacentral:rRNA from 1 species
GUACACUCCUGCGGGAGGCAGCAGUGGGGAAUUUUGGACAAUGGGCGAAAGCCUGAUCCAGCAAUGCCGCGUGAGUGAAGAAGGCCUUCGGGUUGUAAAGCUCUUUUGUCAGGGAAGAAACGGUGAAAGCUAAUAUCUUUUGCUAAUGACGGUACCUGAAGAAUAAGCACCGGCUAACUACGUGCCAGCAGCCGCGGUAAUACGUAGGGUGCAAGCGUUAAUCGGAAUUACUGGGCGUAAAGCGUGCGCAGGCGGUUUUGUAAGUCUGAUGUGAAAUCCCCGGGCUCAACCUGGGAAUUGCAUUGGAGACUGCAAGGCUAGAAUCUGGCAGAGGGGGGUAGAAUUCCACGUGUAGCAGUGAAAUGCGUAGAUAUGUGGAGGAACACCGAUGGCGAAGGCAGCCCCCUGGGUCAAGAUUGACGCUCAUGCACGAAAGCGUGGGGAGCAAACAGGAUUAGAAACCCCAGUAGUCCC